GGUAAUGUUUAUUCAGACGCAUUUUGAGAUGUCGGACGCGAAAAUACCUUAAGCCUAAGACUUAAAGCAAUGAAGAAUCAUCUAUAUCUUGCAACAUUUAUUCAAAUAAAGGUAUUCAGAACACAGAAUAACAUGUAACAAAAACAAUUUGCAAACAUAUUUACAUUCCCAUAUAAUAGUUAAGAACAUAACCAUUUUUGUAUUACGUAUGCGCCGAAGUGUUUGUUCGACUAGGUGCUGCUGGCUUAAUUACACACCAGUUGAGCUUAAAGUU